rnacentral:lncRNA from 1 species
CAGGACUUCAGACCACUUAAGAACAAUGGUCACAGAAAGAGACCAGGUGUUAGAGCUUAAGAAGGAGCCUUGUGCAUCUUGCUAAGGAAACUUCAGUCUCUGUGCUAGUAUUACUCUGGCAAUGGGCUGACUGCUGAAGGAACUUGACCGCAGUUUCAGCAGUGUCCUUAGAACGUAACAGGAUGAGGCAAACAAGGCUGUUAUUUCUGGACACAGUAAUCCUUCAGCAAUACAAUUACCAAGUUAUUCAACAUGGAAGGCUUUGCCAAGACAGUGGUGGCUGGGAUUUGACCCUCUAAGUGUGAGGGUCAUCCAUUCCUUUAUUAGCAAAUAUUCAUGAAUGCCCACUAUGUGCAACACACGGUGCUUGGUGCAAGCAUACAGUGAUGAAUCAAGUAGAGAAGGCCCUGCCCUUAUGGAGCUUACAGCCUGGCUGUGUAAACAUCUUGGGAAUAGAGCAGUUGACUGGACAUCUCUCAUGUGCAGCAGCAGCAGGAAAAAGAACUUUGGACUUUAUCUGGUUUGCCUUUGAUUCUCAGUUCUCUCAGUUACUUGCUAAGCAAAUGACAUCUCCUUUCUCUGUUUCAUAUCCCUCAUCUGUUAAACAGGGAUCAUAAUACCUAACGUCGUGGGCUUCCAAGACAAAUCCUAGGGGAGGAAUUCUGCAAUGCACCCAGUACUUGCCAAGUAUUGUGUCUGGUAUUUAGCACAAAAGGAAUUUUAGUUUCCUCUACCUCUCACUUUGGGAGCUCAGAUAAAUUAGUAGCUGUAUUUUCCUAGACAAAAGAUUCUAUUUGUUUAUGUGUCCUACACUGCAUUAGGCUAAGCUAUGGCAAGAAAGAGAAAAAAAAAACUUAAGUGGAUUAAUACAUUUAAAAUGUACUUCUUGCACAUGUAAUACUUCUAGGUGGGUGUUGUCAGGGUCACUCCUCCCCAUGCUGGUGGUAGCUUGAUAUAUUUACUCUGUGGCUUCCAAGAUUACCCAAGGUGUUGACAUCUCAGUGGACUAGAAGAGAGAAUGAGCAUGGAGGCGCAUUUGGGGAGAGUGAGGAGGGCUGAACCUGGAGAUGGGAUCAUUAUUCAUGCUUCACACUGACUCCCAGAGAACUGAGUUAUGUGGUCACAACUCAUAUAAGGGAAACCGGGAGAUCUCAUCUUGCUGUAUUUUUGCAAAUAAAAAUUAAAACCUUAGUUUCCCAUAAAGAGGCAGCGUAAACAUCCGGCAGGGAAGAAUGGAAUUUUGGGGACAGUUAGCAGUCUUGAUUAUUAAUUAAGAGCAAAUAGUUCUUCCCUUGUAGCGUUCAUCACCAUCCCUCAAAAACACAAGUAAUAGAAAAAGCUGAGAUAGAGUUACCCUGGGAGAAUCCAAGAAUAACUUUGGUAAGGUAAGUGUAUAUAAAUUGAAAGAAAACACUCGACUGCUAUUCUAAUCAUUCUUGUAAUCAACAUUUAUUUAAUUUUUAUUAGGCAUCACUUGGUGGGGAUACAAAGAUGGAAAGAGGAAGGCAAUGUAUGUAUGCUAGGAGGAUCAGAAGACAACCAUAGUUAGCUAAGAGGUCAUGAUUUAGCAACAAAUGAAACCAGACUUGUCUAACAAAUUUCUCAUCAACAAACAUUGUACAAAAAAAAGUACUGAAUAAAAGUAUUGCCUAUGUUGUUGUUCACACCUAUGUAUUUACUAGAAUGUCUGAGAGGGCUGUACUGUAUAUAUGACUUUAAAUUUUAGUUGAUUUAUUUAUUAACCUUGAAAAGAGUAAGUACUUCUUAGUGAAAGCAAUUCUUACAGCUUUGUUUUCAACCAACUAAAAAUGAUAUCACUCUUACAUAUUGUCCUCCAUAUUCUGAGGUCUUAAAUGUACUUUUUUCUGAUUUGUAUUUAUGUCCUGAGACAGAGAUUUUUGGAAAAGAAAAUAAACCUACAGUUAAAAGAAAAAAGAAAACAAUGAAAAUAGAAGCUGAGCUUAGCUGAGGAUAUGAAUAACGAAAAGCAACCACCUUACCGCAAAACAACUCUAAGAAGUAGGAUUAUCAUCACUCAAUUUACAGGCAUCCAUGUCCUCCAGGAUAUAAAGGAAGAAGUUGAGGGAUGGAUGCAGAGUAUACUAUUCUCCACCAUUACAAAUUGGGCACCUUUGCUUUUGAAUGAGUGACCACAGCCCUGGAAACUUGUAUGCUUUGCUAAUUGAGGGCAGAUGAGCCUCAGGUCAAUCCCCCAUCAAUUAUCCACUCAACAACAAUAAAAUGCUAACUUGUAUGCCCUAACCCAGUUUGUUUAAUUAUUUGGAAGUGAUUUUGUAUCUAAACAACCCACACACUGGACAUAAGCAAUCCUGGAUAAAAUAGAAGUUUAUUAAACUCAUCUUCAUAUUUACAUAAAUUAUUUUUUAAAAAGACACCAUCUAGGCCAAGACCAGUUUUAUUUUUCCCUUCAAAGAAUAAUGUUGAGGAUCAAUUUCUCCAGCUUAACAUCACCAGCCUUGGCAGCAGCUCAUAUUUGGAAUAUAAAUGAUGUCAUCUGGUUGGCCUUUUCCCAUCACAAACAGUAAAUCUCUAAAUCUGGAGAGAUCUUUUAUUUGGUUACACAUAUUGUACAGCAUCAAGGGGUUAGAACACAUGUGCUAGAGAUUAUUAAAAUCAUCUGGAGGAGAAUGGCUUAUUAUUGGAAAGCCCAGAACUUAUGACCCUUUCAUGCCUGGUGUCUCCAUCAACUCUUCUUUCGCUCCUACCUUUUCAAAGAAAUAAUUGUGGCCGAUUGGCCCAUGAUUAUUUGCAUACUAAGGUUUUUCUGGUGCACCAUGCCUCUUCUCUGGAAAAAGAUAUCCCUAGCAGAGUAUAGAGAAAGGGGAACAGGAUUAGGAAUCAGAAAGCCAGUCACAGCAACAUGCCAAAAUAUGACUUUGGGUAACACAUUUGAACUCUACUAAUUUCACUCUCUCAUCUAUAAAAUGAAAAUAAUAAUAACCAGCCUCACAGGAAUUUUUUAGAUAGAUAGUUUUUUAAAAAGUCAUUGAAUAUCUGUUUAUCACUGUAUAAUUUGCUAAAAUCUUUCAAUUACAUUAGCAUUAGUCUUACCUAGCACAAGAAAGACACUCAACAGAUAUUUGUUGAAUAGCAUGUAAAUUGGUGAUAUUAUAGUUUGAUGGAUUCUGAGUCGUUAAGGUAUCUAUCACACCUCUGAACUUAGUUUUCUUUAUUUAUAAUGUGUAUUCAACUGUAUCUCUUUUUAGGGUUGUUGUAAGAGAUAAAGAAAAUAACAUACAUGAAGUAUCAGUUUCGGGCACUUUGGUGUGUACUUGAGAAAGAGGUUUCCUUUUCUCUGAUCGCUUCUUCUUUCAGAGCUUCAUUCUUCUCAUUCAACAGAAUUGGUCAUAAUUAUAACAUUCUACUUGUUGAGGAGAUAGCUGUGGGGCAAAGAGAACAGGGGGGCCAAGCUUUGGUCCUAAUUUUCCAUCUUCCCAGUUGUGUGAACUUUGACAAUUUGGGGGAGUCUGUUUCCCCAUUUGAAAAAUAAGGAGCUUGUCUAGAUCUGAAGUUCCCAAAUUUUUGAAGUUUAUAGAGCAAACAAACAAAUAAACAAACAACAACAACAACAACAACAAAAGACCAGUACCAACCAGGAGCCUAACAUAACAUGGUCAAUUUUUUGAUCUGAGAAAUAGAUUUUUGAAAAAUAACUGUCACUUACCAUUACAAUCAUUUCAAAUUAAAGGACAAGGAACUCCAAAAAAGAAAAAAAAGAAAAAUUAUGAAAUAUAAGACAUGACUCUAAAAUGAUUACAUUAACCUCAUGGGGAAAGAUGCUGAAUCGUCUUAUUGUCCUUAUUUUUUUCUCAUUUUUCCACAGACCUGUGAAAACUUGUUGUGGACCAACAUGGGUCUUCAGAGUAGUACUUGGGAACCUGUACUGUUCUGUAUUGUGGACCAACAUGGGUCUUCAGAGUAGCACUUGGGAACCACUGGGAUGCAUGACAUGGAAGGGCUCUUCUAGCACUAUGUCCUGUGAUUCUAUCAUAAUUCCACCAUGGUGAAAAGCUGGGAUACUUAAACAACAGUUUGUUUAGGUGAAAUCAGUAAAACAAUGAUCUGAUUCAGCUAAGAAGCUGAUCCCUGAAGUCAUUUUGCUGAACUGAAUGACUCUAGAUCUUGAUAGGAAGUAUAAUUUAGUCAAAACAAUCUAAAUUGUUAUGUGUGGAUUGACACAUAUGAGUUGUUCCCGCAGGUCUUCAAAAUACUUCCUUGCCCCUAAUGAGGCUGACUCAGGCUUUGUUCCCCACCAACUAUAAAUUGAUAAGUAUCACACUUGUACCUACCUACAUCAAAAUGAGAGAGAUAUGUGAGUGAGCCAAACAUAUCCAAAGCAUUCCUAAUUCAGGCACUAUGUGCUCACCCUGAGGUUAGCUUCUCUGACACCUUCCACUCUCUAAUCUUGAGCCAAAAUAUGUCUCUACACUCUACUGUGGUGAUCUCAAAGUCCCUGUAUGAAUGCCUCAUAUUUUAUCACCAAAAUUCUAAAUAGAGACUCUCUGUUUCAUGGUUAGCACUCAUUUCUACCAAGCUUGAUCAUCUGAGGUGGACCAAAUUAGAAAUAGGCAAGCAAAAUAGAGGUAGGAGAAGCUAUUAAUACAGGUCAGGAAGAGAUUAGUUUUGGCUGGGUGCUGUGGCUCACAGCUGUAAUCCUAGCAUUUUGGGAAGCUGAGGUGGGCGGAUCACUUGAGGUCAGGAGUUUGAGACCAGCCUGGCCAACAUGGUGAAUUUCCAUCUCAACUAAAAAUAGAAAAAUCAGCUGGGCAUAGUGGAAGGCACCUGUAAUCUCAGCUACUUGGCAGGCUGAGGCAGGAGAAUCACUUGAACCCAGGAGGCAGAAGUUGCAGUGAGCUGAGAUUGCACCACUGCACUCCAUCCUGGGCAACAGAGUGAGACUCCAUCUCAAAAAUAAAUAAAUAAACAAAUAUAGACAGGUCAGGAGUUGUGGGUUGUGGCUUUGCUUGACUUCACAGAAGAAAGAGAGAAAAAUCAAACAGAACUAACUGUAAGCUACUGAGGACAAUAAUAGAUGUUCAUAUCUUUGGUUCUAAGUCAUCAAGAAAAGUUUAAACUAUGUACAAGAACCUUCUCAAGGAAGCAGAUAAUUCAUUGAGAUAGAUGCUUGGGGGUGAGGGCAAACCUCAGCUAUCAGGAAAUUCAUCUCAAGUUAGCAAACGUGAAUUCUCCUGUGAUCCUAGGGUAAUGAAGUAGUAACAGCAAUAGAAACAACCAUAAUAAUGGCUGGCUACUGCAUUGUACUCUGCCUCUUAGGAGUACUUCCAUUUUCUCAUUUAAUAUUCAGAUCAACCCCAUGAGGAACAAAUAAUAAUUUUUAUUAUCCACUCAUUUCUCCAAGUGAGGAAAUCAAAGCUCAGCUUGGUUAAGUAGCUUGCCAAGACAGCAGAGCUAGUCAGUGGCAGAGUAAGAAUGCAAACCCUAGUCUUCUAACUUGAAGCCCAGUGCAUUUCCCACCCUCUGAUCUUCUCUCAUCCUUAUAAAUAGCCAUAAGACUAAGUAGUUCAAAAAUAUCUUCUUUCUGGUUCUCAGGCCCAUUACAAAUGCCACUUGCCCUGGGUAGGAAAAUAAAGCCCAAGCUCUUUGCUGGACUAUGUGCUAAGUCCUUGGCGCCCAGAAAUAACCUCCUGGAGACUAUGGGCCUUAUAUUUACCGCAAAGCAGUGGGUAAAUAACUAGUUGGUGUUUUAGUGUUUUGUGGUCACUUAAUCUGUUGUGUUGCUUCCCAAGACUCUGAAGGUUUCCUUUUUCAGUUAAUUCUUAUUUACGUUUCUGAGGUCUGUGUUGUUUUGGGUUUGGUUCAUUGGAUGUUUUUCUUGGAAUGUGUUGCCAUUGGCUUCAGGAUGUUCCUGCUCUGCUAUUUCAUGGAAUUUUCCCCGAGUGUGGAUUGCUAUGUAUUUCUUCGGGGCAGUGAGCCAAGGCAGUGCUGGUAUGUAAUCUGUUCCUCUGGCCAGAAGACUUCUUGUCACCCAUCCACAUGGUGCUUGGUUGUAUUUCUCCACUGAUAAUUCCCCUCCAUCUGUUAAUGUGCAG